rnacentral:lncRNA from 1 species
ACCCUACUGUAUUGUUGAAUAAAAAUGUAAGUUGCACAGAGUGUGUGAAAUUUACUCCAUCUAUAUUAAUUUUUUAAAACCAUCAAAUGAUAUUAUGUAUUAUGUAUGGAUACUUACAUGUGUGGCAAAAAUGUGAAAACAUGAUAAACCCUAAAUUCAUGAGAGUACUUACUCUUAAGAGGCAGAGAAGAGAAUGGGAUUGUGGGAGUAUGCAGAUUAUAUUUAACCAUUUGUUCAAGUUAUUUUGAAACCUUCAGUAGGGUAUUCA